UACGUAGGGAGCAAGCGUUAAUCGGAAUUACUGGGCGUAAAGCGUGCGCAGGCGGUAAGGUAAGUCUGAUGUGAAAGCCCCGGGCUCAACCUGGGAAUGGCAUUGGAAACUGGCUUGCUAGAGUGUGGCAGAGGGGGGUGGAAUUCCGCGUGUAGCAGUGAAAUGCGUAGAGAUGCGGAGGAACACCGAUGGCGAAGGCAGCCCCCUGGGCUGACACUGACGCUCAGGCACGAAAGCGUGGGGAGCAAACAGG
rnacentral:rRNA from 1 species